rnacentral:tmRNA from 16 species
GGGGCUGAUUCUGGAUUCGACGGGAUUUGCGAAACCCAAGGUGCAUGCCGAGGGGCGGUUGGCCUCGUAAAAAGCCGCAAAAAAUAGUCGCAAACGACGAAAACUACGCUUUAGCAGCUUAAUAACCUGCUUAGAGCCCUCUCUCCCUAGCCUCCGCUCUUAGGAUGGGGAUCAAGAGAGGUCAAACCCAAAAGAGAUCGCGUGGAAGCCCUGCCUGGGGUUGAAGCGUUAAAACUUAAUCAGGCUAGUUUGUUAGUGGCGUGUCCGUCCGCAGCUGGCAAGCGAAUGUAAAGACUGACUAAGCAUGUAGUACCGAGGAUGUAGGAAUUUCGGACGCGGGUUCAACUCCCGCCAGCUCCACCA